GAUGAACGCUAGCUACAGGCUUAACACAUGCAAGUCGAGCGCCCCGCAAGGGGAGCGGCAGACGGGAGAGUAACACGUGGGAACGUACCCUUCAGUUCGGAACAACUCAGGGAAACUUGGGCUAAUACCGAAUACGUCCGUAAGGAGAAAGAUUUAUCGCUGAAGGAUCGGCCCGCGUCUGAUUAGCUUGUUGGUGAGGUAACGGCUCACCAAGGCUACGAUCAGUAGCUGGUCUGAGAGGAUGAUCAGCCUCACUGGGACUGAGACACGGCCCAGACUCCUACGGGAGGCAGCAGUGGGGAAUAUUGGACAAUGGGCGCAAGCCUGAUCCAGCCAUGCCGCGUGGAUGAUGAAGGCCUUAGGGUUGUAAAGUCCUUUCGACGGGGAAGAUAAUGACGGUACCCGUAGAAGAAGCCCCGGCUAACUUCGUGCCAGCCGCCGCCGUAA
rnacentral:rRNA from 1 species